UUGUUUGCCUGGCAGGGGAGACAUCAUGGUUGUGGAAGGUGGGUGUUCUAGGGUGAAGACAAUCCUUCGCACUCCAGAUGUGCUGAUCCCUGUAAUUUCCCAGGAACCUCAGCUGCAUAAUUUUUGGUAGGAUGAGACUGCCUGCACUUUUC
rnacentral:snRNA from 9 species